UACGGAGGGGGCGAGCGUUGUUAGGAGUUACUGGGCGUAAAGCGUGCGCAGGCGGCCCGUUAAGACAGGUGUGAAAUCCCUGGGCUCAACCUAGGAAUUGCGCUUGUGACUGGCGGGCUCGAGUACGGUAGAGGGGGGUGGAAUUCCUGGUGUAGCAGUGAAAUGCGUAGAGAUCAGGAGGAACACCGAUGGCGAAGGCAGCCCCCUGGGCCUGUACUGACGCUCAUGCACGAAAGCGUGGGGAGCAAACAGG
rnacentral:rRNA from 1 species